CGUCCGUCCCUCUCUCUCUCUCUCUCUCUCUCUCUCUCUCGUCGAAUUUGAUGAUGUGUCGUGUGAGUUCCCUUCUCGUGCGCGUCGUUUCGGGUUCAGUCUAAUUCUCGAAAGGAAAUAAGAGGGAUUCCGUUUGUUAUCAGCGCUUUCGUGCCUGUGCUUGUUUAGAAGUGGAGAUUGAUUUAGCACGGGGCCGUACCCCCCAUCAAUAUGUAUAUCUGUCUGCAUAAGUUUGGAUUUUGCUCGGGGAUUUCGACGAUUCGAGUGUUUCAGCUCUUGAUGUAUCGAGCAUGUUUUUUUUAUUAGUUUAGGGGAAGGGUUAAGUGUGUCCCCUGUCGAACUCUUGGUAUUAGGCCGGAGCUUUUGAUACUUGAGUUGCUGAAACGAAGUGUGAUUUUCAGGUAUCAACUAUCUACUACGGAAUUUAUUAUAGUGUUAGCACGGAGAGAGCAUGUAAUGGAUUCUUUUGUGUAUAUUUACUUGCUGCCUCGUUUUAAGAUGAUCUCUCUAUCUCUUGCUUUGAAGCAAUUAUUCCUAAGAGCUUGUGGUGGAGCCUGUGGAUUUGAAGAAGUGCAGUAAAGUGGAGGUGAUAGUGGAGUGGUGAAAGAGACACACGGGUUGUUUUUGUAGUCUCCAAUCUCCAUAUGAAAGUCCAAUUUCUUAAGAUAAGAUGCUGAUGCUCUGGUGCUUAUGCUUUAAGCGGCCAAUGUUCCUCCUAGUUUGCUGUUUACAUUUGCCUUGUGUUUUGAGUCUUAACACCUGAAUUUAUAUGAAUCCACAUUGUGUAGAUUUUUGGCCAGUUCUUGUUAUUUGAAGGCUUUAUUGAAAUCCACACUCCGAAACUGAUAGCUGGAUCCAGUGAAGGAGGUUCUGCUGUGUUUAAACUGGACUAUAAAGGGUGCCCUGCAUGCCUGGUGUAGUCACCUCAGCUUCAUAAGCAAAUGGCCAUUUGUGGUGACUUUGGGUAAUGGACAUUGUGGACAAGUUGUUCGUUACAAUGUUCGACUCAUUGAAUGCGAGUUGCAAGAAAGAACUUGAAGCUAUUGGAAGACAAUACCCCUUUGAACCUUUAAAGGUGCUGGAAGCACUCCACUUCAUGAUGCUGCUUGUGGUGGAAGUGUGCAGUGUUGUCAGAAGAACAGCUUUGAGCAAUUCUGCAUAAGUUAUGCAAAUGAGAGGUUGCAACAACAUUUCAACCGGCAUUUGUUAAAACUGGAGCAGGAAGUGAGCAUCUCACAUGGACCGUGUCUUUAGUUUUGUUCAGUAUUUAUAUGAUGGGGAUUGUCGCUAAAAGCAGGAUAUUCUUUUUUGAUUCAUUUCUAUCGUCAUUAUUUGUUGUGCAAGAUUAGUUAUUGUGCAAGAUUAUUUAUUCUCUCAUUAUGUGUACUAUAAAGAAAAAUAUUUAUGUCA